AUUAAUGAUAAUAUAAAUUAAUUAUAUUACUUAUACUAUAGGAUAUAGACCCUUUAUAAGUUUUAAUA
rnacentral:tRNA from 1 species